AUUGAACGCUGGCGGCAUGCCUUACACAUGCAAGUCGAACGGUAACAGGUCCUCGGAUGCUGACGAGUGGCGAACGGGUGAGUAAUACAUCGGAACGUGCCCGAUCGUGGGGGAUAACGGAGCGGAAGCUUUGCUAAUACCGCAUACGAUCUACGGAUGAAAGCAGGGGACCGCAAGGCCUUGCGCGGACGGAGCGGCCGAUGGCAGAUUAGGUAGUUGGUGGGAUAAAAGCUUACCAAGCCGACGAUCUGUAGCUGGUCUGAGAGGACGACCAGCCACACUGGGACUGAGACACGGCCCAGACUCCUACGGGAGGCAGCAGUGGGGAAUUUUGGACAAUGGGCGAAAGCCUGAUCCAGCCAUGCCGCGUGCAGGAUGAAGGCCUUCGGGUUGUAAACUGCUUUUGUACGGAACGAAAAGACUCUUUCUAAUAAAGAGGGUCCAUGACGGUACCGUAAGAAUAAGCACCGGCUAACUACGUGCCAGCCGCCGCGGUAA
rnacentral:rRNA from 1 species